GUGCCGGUCUGCCAGGGCGCCGGGCUUUGGGUUCGCUUUCCUUGAGUAUACCGAUACCGAUCCGAAAAAUCGUAUUUGUUGUGAGCCGCCCUGGUGUUGUCCGGGCUGCGAGCACAGGCGCAUGCUCCCUUCCCAGUGAGAAUGCCCAGAGAGGAAGUCUCGGAGGUGAGCCCUGCGCGAAUCUGCACAGACUCCUUUCUCCACCCAAUGCUCACUUCUGAGUGAGUAUAACGAUCCGAGUAUACCGAUACCGAUCCGAGUAUACCGAUACCGAUCAGAAAAAUCGUAUUUGUUGUGAGUCGUGCCCGGGUUUACACGGGUUGCAGGCACCUAGGCAUGCCCCUUUCUAGUGAGUAUGCCGAGAGAGGAAGUCCCUGUGGUGAGCCGCGCCUGGUCUGCAAGGGCGUCGGGUUUUGGGUUCGUUUUCCGUGGACUAUACCGAUACCGAUCCGAAAAAUCGUAUUUGUUGUGAGCCGGCCCCGGUGCUGCCAGGGCUGCGGGCACCGGCGCAUGCUCCCUUCCGAGUGAGUAUGCUGAGAGAGGAAGUCUCUGUGGUGAGCCGCGCCCGGAUUAGCCCGGGUGGAGGGCACUGGUGCAUGUAACACUCUGCUCCGUAUGCCAAAAAUGAAGUCUCCGUGCUGAGCCGCGCGCGAAUAUAUCCAGGCUCCUUUCUCCAGCCAAUGCUUCCUUGGGGUGAAUAUAAUGAUCCGGGAAGCUCCAUGGUGAGCCGUUCCCAGGUCUGCCAGGGCGCCGGGCUUUGGGCUCGCUUUCCUUGAGUAUACCGAUACCGAUCUGAAAAAUCGUAUUUGUUGUGACCGCCCUGGUGUUGUCCGGGCUGCGAGCACAGGCGCAUGCUCCCUUCC